UACGGAAGGGGCGAGCGUUGUUCGGAAUCAUUGGGCGUAAAGGGCGCGUAGGCGGUUGUGUUUGUCUACUGUGAAAGGCCACGGCUUACCUGUGGAGGUGCGGUAGAAACGGCACAACUUGAGGCUGGGAGGGGUUGGUGGAAUUCCCUGUGUAGCGGUGAAAUGCGUAGAUACGGGGGAGAACACUCGUGGCGAAGGCGGCCAACUGGCCCAGUCCUGACGCUGAGGCGCGACAGCGUGGGGAGCAAACAGG
rnacentral:rRNA from 1 species